UGGGGAAUAUUGGGCAAUGGGCGCAAGCCUGACCCAGCAACGCCGCGUGAGGGAAGAAGGCUUUCGGGUUGUAAACCUCUGUCCUUGGUGUCGAAACAAAUGACGGUAGCCAAGGAGGAAGCCCCGGCUAACUACGUGCCAGCAGCCGCGGUAAUACGGAGGGGGCGAGCGUUGUCCGGAAUUACUGGGCGUAAAGGGUGCGUAGGUGGCCUUUUAAGUUGGAUGUGAAAUACCCGGGCUUAACUUGGGGGGUGCAUCCAAAACUGGAAGGCUAGAGUGCAGGAGAGGAAAGCGGAAUUCCUAGUGUAGCGGUGAAAUGCGUAGAUAUUAGGAGGAACACCAGUGGCGAAGGCGGCUUUCUGGACUGUAACUGACACUGAGGCACGAAAGCGUGGGGAGCAAACA
rnacentral:rRNA from 1 species